UUUUUGAGGUGGUGCUUGAGGAGAUUUCUACAGCCAGAGAGGCACGAUCAAGAUGAGUAGCGACUUCCGCUCUUCCUUUCCGCUUAGGUCGCUCAUCGAAGCCUCGCUCGACCCUAAUACCUGAGCACUUCACCCACGUCGAGGAUCCGAACCCGGCGAUGGCAAGGGAUCCAAUCACAGGACGACGCUUCCAAGGAACUCUCCAGGAGCGUGGCGGUCCUCGCGAUCCGCGUCCUCAGCCGAGGGCGGCACGUGCGGCGUGAGCCCUGGUCGGGAGGAAAGUCUCAGGUUGAGUGUUACAACUCGAAAAGGAGCGAAACCCCUGGGAGAGAGAGAGAGAGGCGGAAUUCAGAGAGGAGCGAGAGCUUUGCUGGUUCUUCCC
rnacentral:lncRNA from 1 species